rnacentral:rRNA from 1 species
UGGGGAAUAUUGGACAAUGGGCGCAAGCCUGAUCCAGCAAUGCCGCGUGUGUGAAGAAGGCCUUCGGGUUGUAAAGCACUUUUAUCAGGAGCGAAAUACCACGGGUUAAUACCCUAUGGGGCUGACGGUACCUGAGGAAUAAGCACCGGCUAACUUCGUGCCAGCAGCCGCGGUAAUACGAAGGGUGCAAGCGUUAAUCGGAAUUACUGGGCGUAAAGGGUGCGUAGGCGGUUCGUUAAGUCUGUUGUGAAAUCCCCGGGCUCAACCUGGGAAUGGCAAUGGAUACUGGCGAGCUAGAGUGUGAUAGAGGAUGGUGGAAUUCCCGGUGUAGCGGUGAAAUGCGUAGAGAUCGGGAGGAACAUCAGUGGCGAAGGCGGCCAUCUGGAUCAACACUGACGCUGAAGCACGAAAGCGUGGGGAGCAAACA